CGAGCUUGUCGAUGGCGGCCAGCAGCGGCGGCAUCUCCGGAAUGCCGUGCGGCGGUUCGAUCAUCGCGCCGAGCUUGAC
rnacentral:tRNA from 1 species